rnacentral:rRNA from 1 species
CCAAACCGACACAGGUGGGCAAGUAGAGAAUACUAAGGGGCGCGAGAUAACUCUCUCUAAGGAACUCGGCAAAAUGGCCCCGUAACUUCGGGAGAAGGGGUGCCGGAUUAUAUCCGGCCGCAGCGACCAGGCCCAAGCGACUGUUUACCAAAAACACAGGUCUCUGCUAAGUCGUAAGACGACGUAUAGGGGCUGACGCCUGCCCAAUGCCAGAAUGUUAACAGGAGAUGUCAGGCCUUCGGGUUGAAGCAUUGAAUCGAAGCACUGGUGAAUGGCGGCCGUAACAAUAACGGUCCUAAG